CUCGUUGAAGGGUUGGCAGUGGAGGUGAGGGUAACUUUCUGGAGAUCCCUGCCUAUGUGAGGCCUUCCAAAGGUUGGAGGAAGAAGUAAAGAGAGAACAGUCUUACUGCAUAGGAAGAAUGCACAGAGCAACUCACCCUGACUUGCAGCACGCUCCUGUUCUCCUCCACCCAGUUCCCACUGCUUCACUCGGACCUCACGUCUACCCGUGCUGUGCUUCAGCCCGAAGCACCGCGCGCUGCUGCCUUCAGCACUGGGAGAGCUCCAGUGGGAUCCGUCCCGUCUGCAGGGAUUGCGGCUUCGGGCAGUUUGAGACAUCUGAUGCUGUCUGGCACAUGGGAGAUGUUUACUAAUUCGUUUGCCUUAAACAGAUGUUCAGUAAUUUGAGUUGGAUUGGGGACUACGCUCUGCUUAGCUCCAUACUGAGUUUGAGGAAGACUGUUGUGUUGGAUUUUGAUUGAUGACAAUGGUGGCUUUUCUUGAUCAGAAAUAUCUCUGUGAUCAGACAUGUCCUCACUAACUGCUUUGGCACUGUUAUCUAGCAAGGCCUAAGCCUGAUCUAAGCCUUAUUAUCUUUGGCAAGUUUCCUGUGACUGUAUUUAAAGACUUUGAGUAUGGACUGAGUCAUAUUAGGCUUGCACCAUGCUGCAUUGAAUGAAAUAUGGACCAGUCUAUAAAGAGAGAAGAUUUGCUUCCACUUAGAAUAAUCUUUUCACAAAGAGAUUUAAAGAAAAAAAAGAUCCUGUAAGCCCUUCUCUACUCUCGAGAAACCUUUAUAUCCCAGAAUUCAAAGGCAAGAACAUAGAUAACACAAAGUGAUGAAUAAAAAUGGGAGUCAAAAUUGUCAGAUACUAUGCAUAGGUAGAGGAUGCUUAUUUUUGGUCCUGGUUGUGUAUUUGGAGCCAGAUUCCCUCUCUAUGUGAAACAGACUACUUGAAUGAUGUGAGGUUUUAAAUUCUCCAAGUGACCAGAUGGGGUUUGCCGCAACAAUAGGGUUUCUGCUUGGUUUUGGGAAGGGCAGUGAUUUUGCUGGCAUUACACAAGUCUAUGUGAGAUAAAAAUAAGGAACCUUCUUUUUCCAGCUUUUUUGAUUUAUGAAACUGCUGGAAAUCAAAACUCUAUUGCCAUUUGAAAUUUUUUUUCUCCAAACUGUACUGGAUGUUCUUCACAUUAAUUUGUGGAUUACAGAAUGUUCUAGGCAAAACAUCAGUGGGACAGUAAAACAUUAAUGCAAGAGUUCAGCUAACAAAAUAAAACCACAAAGUUCUUCUAUCCUACUUAAUAAUGACUCGAGUAAAAUGGGGACAGUUGUGUGGUCUAGUGGCUAGUGAGGGGUGUGGUCCUCUGGAUUCCUGGAGCUGCUUCCCAGCUCUUCUUUCCCAUGCUGGUUGACCUUAAGUAAGUUUACUCCUUGUAAAUUGGAGCCUGAUGUCUGGCUAGGAAACUUAUUAGGAAACUUAAUUUUUCAGAGAGCAUUUUGGGAACUUGAGAUGACAGGUGCUAAAUAAAGAUACUUCUCUCUAUUAAGUAGCUCUAAGAAAACACACUGAGAUUCCAAUUUUGUGACACUGGUACUUAGAGAACUCAUCUUUUGGCUUUUUAUGAAUUUAUGAUCUGGAGUUGUCAAAGAUGACAAACGUGGAUACUCCUGACCAUUUCCUAGGAUGACUGUUUCAAUUUUCAGCAUUCCAGUCUAUUGGCAAGAGAAAAGCAAUGAAUUUCCAUUUCCACGUCAGCAAAUAAUUCUGGAUUUACACAGAACUGUGUGGCAGUGGUCUUGAGUACAGCUGAAGUGCACCAGAGCCAGAAAGUUAAGAUGAUUAUGAAUGGGAAUAAAGCAGGUUGUCAAAGCUUUGUUUUCCAAGUUGAGUGUAAGGCAUCAGUGGGAAAAAGCAAACAGCAGGGGAAAAGUGUGCUAAUCAAAUGGGCGAGCAAGUCAGAAGAGUUAUCCUGCAGAAUACCACUAUUAGAACACUUAAGAAAAUUCUGUAGAACUCUAUUAAUUGAAAGGGGGCAGCAAACAUCUUUCUGCCUCAUGCAGUGCUUAGAAAGUGAUGUUAUAAAAUAAUAAGAUGCUGUGAUAGUGGAGAUGACACAGGUGGAAAGAAAAGAUUGUGGGUUGGAAUCUUGACUGAAGAAUAAUCUUCACACAAGUUUCAUCUAAACUUGGCUGUCUGCUGAGAGUUACAACAAAGAAAACUUCUCAAAUAUCAACCUAUCUUCUCCCCAGCUCCUGUAGAGCUCAUAACAAAAGCCCAAUGAGAAAUUCCUUGAACAAGGUGAGAGGGUCUGAUCACUUCUGCAAAACUAAGUGCAAGUUAAAGUCAUUGGGAAGAAAGUCUGGCACAUUUGGUGUAGCUGUGCACCAAAGAUUUGCUAUUGGAUUUUGCUGGAACUGGAUCAGGCUGUUACUUUGAAUGUACCCACGAUCAAUUAAUUUCAAGCUGUGCCCUCAUCUAUGGCCAGAACAAAUCAAGAUUUUCUCCUUCUCCCACAUAUGCAUAGGUGACAUCAUGUUGUUGGAUAAGUGCUGCUUUCUUGUCCAGCCAUUUAUCCUAGCUUGAAGUUUGCUAGCAGUUUUCUGCACAGUGUGUACUGUACAGGACACCUGGAGAAUAUGCUUUGCAUUUGCAAAUAGUUGCUAUGCAUUUAGGUAGCAUAAAAUCAAAGACUGCUGAUCUUUGUGUGUUAGGCUCAUAGCUAAUUCAGUGAUUGAGCCUUCAGUGCAUUAAGACUAUGUUUUUGCCAAUACUUGUUCCCAGCAUCAGAAUUUAGGAAUACUUUUAAGUAACCCCUUUCAAACUACAAUUGCACUUGAUCAAGCCCAGUUUGGUCCAAGCUGGUUCAUCAGCCUACUCAGCCUGAACGAAACUCCUGCAUGUGGAAAGCUGGUUUAAGAUCAGAAAGCCAAAGUCCUGCAGGAAUAUUGUGCAAAGGAGUUCUCUGAUGUUUGCCCACUGUGACUAUUAAUGAGGCCUUGAUGCCUAACAUAAUGCAGUUCUUCCAGAAGCAAUGAUCUAAUCUGUGGUCAGGCAUGCAGUCAGGCAUACACUCGCUCUCCGUAUUACAGAGCCACUGG